rnacentral:rRNA from 1 species
AUGAUCAACCUGGGAAAGUGCACGGCGUACAAGAUUCGAUGGAAUGUGGAGGAGCAUGGUGAAGUUCUGCAAGAUUUUGGAGGAAAAGAGGACUCGUUUCCUUGCAAAUACCUGAGCCUUCCUUUGCACAGGAGAAAGCCAACACGUGCUGAAUUGCAACCUCUCAUAGACAAGGCUGCUAGGAGAGUAAAACCGUGGAACGGAAAGCUUCUGAACAAGACUGGUCGCUUAACUCUAAUCAACUCGGUCCUUACGGCAAUCACAACUUUCUUCCUCACAUGUUUUGCAAUGGAUAAAUGGGCUAUCAAAAAGCUUGACAAAUGUAGAAGAAACUUUGUUUGGGCUGGGGAUGAGGAGGCAAGCGGAAGUAAACGCUUGGUAAAUUGGAAACAAUGUUGCUCCCCCAAAAGUCUCGGUGGCCUCGGAAUCAAAGAGCUAACCUGUUAUAGCAGAGCAUUGAGACUCAGAUGGUGUUGGUUCGAAUGGGAUGACACUGACAGACCUUGGAAAGGUUCCCAAAUUCCUUGCGACGCAACUGACAGAGACCUUUUCUCCGCCUGCACCAAGAUCACAUUGGGGAACGGACAAAAGGUGAACUUCUGGAAGGACAAGUGGCUGCAUGGGGUCGCACCCAUUGAAGUGGCUCCAGAGGUUGCAAAGCUAGUGGAUGAAGGGGCUUCAAAGGAUGGGCAACGAAGAGUAAGUUCUGCAAUUUGUCAACUUGUGGGAGCUGAUCCAAGAAGUGCAGCUGUCUCAGGACAGACAUAG